rnacentral:rRNA from 1 species
UUUGGUUAAGUUAGAAAGGGCGCACGGUGGAUGCCUUGACACUAGGAGUCGAUGAAGGACGGGACUAACGCCGAUAUGCUUCGGGGAGCUGUAAGUAAGCUUUGAUCCGAAGAUUUCCGAAUGGGGAAACCCACCAUACGUAAUGGUAUGGUAUCCUUAUCUGAAUACAUAGGGUAAGGAAGACAGACCCAGGGAACUGAAACAUCUAAGUACCUGGAGGAAGAGAAAGCAAAUGCGAUUUCCUGAGUAGCGGCGAGCGAAACGGAACAUAGCCCAAACCAAGAGGCUUGCCUCUUGGGGUUGUAGGACAUUCUAUACGGAGUUACAAAGGAACGAGGUAGACGAAGCGACCUGGAAAGGUCCGUCGUAGAGGGUAACAACCCCGUAGUCGAAACUUCGUUCUCUCUUGAAUGUAUCCUGAGUACGGCGGAACACGUGAAAUUCCGUCGGAAUCUGGGAGGACCAUCUCCCAAGGCUAAAUACUCCCUAGUGAUCGAUAGUGAACCAGUACCGUGAGGGAAAGGUGAAAAGCACCCCGGAAGGGGAGUGAAAGAGAUCCUGAAACCGUGUGCCUACAAAUAGUCAGAGCCCGUUAAUGGGUGAUGGCGUGCCUUUUGUAGAAUGAACCGGCGAGUUACGAUCCCGUGCGAGGUUAAGCUGAAGAGGCGGAGCCGCAGCGAAAGCGAGUCUGAAUAGGGCGUUUAGUACGUGGUCGUAGACCCGAAACCAGGUGAUCUACCCAUGUCCAGGGUGAAGUUCAGGUAACACUGAAUGGAGGCCCGAACCCACGCACGUUGAAAAGUGCGGGGAUGAGGUGUGGGUAGCGGAGAAAUUCCAAUCGAACCUGGAGAUAGCUGGUUCUCCCCGAAAUAGCUUUAGGGCUAGCCUUAAGUGUAAGAGUCUUGGAGGUAGAGCACUGAUUGGACUAGGGGUCCUCAUCGGAUUACCGAAUUCAGUCAAACUCCGAAUGCCAAUGACUUAUCCUUAGGAGUCAGACUGCGAGUGAUAAGAUCCGUAGUCAAAAGGGAAACAGCCCAGACCGCCAGCUAAGGUCCCAAAGUGUGUAUUAAGUGGAAAAGGAUGUGGAGUUGCUUAGACAACUAGGAUGUUGGCUUAGAAGCAGCCACCAUUUAAAGAGUGCGUAAUAGCUCACUAGUCGAGUGACUCUGCGCCGAAAAUGUACCGGGGCUAAAUACACCACCGAAGCUGCGGAUUGAUACCAAUGGUAUCAGUGGUAGGGGAGCGUUCUAAGGACAGUGAAGUCAGACCGGAAGGACUGGUGGAGUGCUUAGAAGUGAGAAUGCCGGUAUGAGUAGCGAAAGACGGGUGAGAAUCCCGUCCACCGAAUGCCUAAGGUUUCCUGAGGAAGGCUCGUCCGCUCAGGGUUAGUCAGGACCUAAGCCGAGGCCGACAGGCGUAGGCGAUGGACAACAGGUUGAUAUUCCUGUACCACCUCUUUAUCGUUUGAGCAAUGGAGGGACGCAGAAGGAUAGAAGAAGCGUGCGAUUGGUUGUGCACGUCCAAGCAGUUAGGCUGAUAAGUAGGCAAAUCCGCUUAUCGUGAAGGCUGAGCUGUGAUGGGGAAGCUCCUUAUGGAGCGAAGUCUUUGAUUCCCCGCUGCCAAGAAAAGCUUCUAGCGAGAUAAAAGGUGCCUGUACCGCAAACCGACACAGGUAGGCGAGGAGAGAAUCCUAAGGUGUGCGAGAGAACUCUGGUUAAGGAACUCGGCAAAAUGACCCCGUAACUUCGGGAGAAGGGGUGCUUUCUUAACGGAAAGCCGCAGUGAAUAGGCCCAAGCGACUGUUUAGCAAAAACACAGCUCUCUGCGAAGCCGUAAGGCGAAGUAUAGGGGGUGACACCUGCCCGGUGCUGGAAGGUUAAGGAGAGGGGUUAGCGUAAGCGAAGCUCUGAACUGAAGCCCCAGUAAACGGCGGCCGUAACUAUAACGGUCCUAAGGUAGCGAAAUUCCUUGUCGGGUAAGUUCCGACCCGCACGAAAGGUGUAACGAUUUGGGCACUGUCUCAACCAGAGACUCGGUGAAAUUAUAGUACCUGUGAAGAUGCAGGUUACCCGCGACAGGACGGAAAGACCCCGUGGAGCUUUACUGUAGCCUGAUAUUGAAUUUUGGUACAGUUUGUACAGGAUAGGCGGGAGCCUUUGAAACCGGAGCGCUAGCUUCGGUGGAGGCGCUGGUGGGAUACCGCCCUGACUGUAUUGAAAUUCUAACCUACGGGUCUUAUCGACCCGGGAGACAGUGUCAGGUGGGCAGUUUGACUGGGGCGGUCGCCUCCUAAAGUGUAACGGAGGCGCCCAAAGGUUCCCUCAGAAUGGUUGGAAAUCAUUCGUAGAGUGCAAAGGCAUAAGGGAGCUUGACUGCGAGACCUACAAGUCGAGCAGGGACGAAAGUCGGGCUUAGUGAUCCGGUGGUUCCGCAUGGAAGGGCCAUCGCUCAACGGAUAAAAGCUACCCCGGGGAUAACAGGCUUAUCUCCCCCAAGAGUCCACAUCGACGGGGAGGUUUGGCACCUCGAUGUCGGCUCAUCGCAUCCUGGGGCUGUAGUCGGUCCCAAGGGUUGGGCUGUUCGCCCAUUAAAGCGGUACGCGAGCUGGGUUCAGAACGUCGUGAGACAGUUCGGUCCCUAUCCGUCGUGGGCGUAGGAAAUUUGAGAGGAGCUGUCCUUAGUACGAGAGGACCGGGAUGGACGCACCGCUGGUGUACCAGUUGUUCUGCCAAGGGCAUAGCUGGGUAGCUAUGUGCGGAAGGGAUAAGUGCUGAAAGCAUCUAAGCAUGAAGCCCCC